GGAGAAAGGAGCCACUGAGCCUGGAGGGAGGGGAGACAGGUGGAUGUAGACAGAGAGAGAAAGCCCCCUCCACAAGGCAGCCUGGACCAAAGCAAAGAGGUCUGUUUUCAUUUCAUUCAUUUAUUAUUUUGUUUAUUUGCGAUGCUGGUUUCUCAGUUAUCUUUCUUUCCCGAACAGUUCUCUCUGGGCAGCCCUGGCCAGACUGCAACAUGAGAAUCGAUCUGACUUCAGCCUCUGUCUGUAAACUUCUCAUGCUACAGCCUGGGGUGGGGUCGUGCGAACCUAGUCCUCUGGAGGCAGAAACUAAAAGAGGUAGCAUUACUGGAGCCCAGAACCCUGAGCCCAGGGCCCAGUCAACCAGUGGAAGCUGGAACUGUGCAAGCCUGACCUGCAGGAUUUGAAGCCAUGGGAGAAUUGCAGCACUCACAUGACACAGCAUUCCUUUCCUCUGGAGGAGGCAGCAGUAAGGUGUCAUCUUGAAGCAGAGAGUAGCCCUCACCAGACAACGGAGCCUGCCAGCAACUUGAUCCUAGAUGUCUAGCCGGUAGACUGUAAGAAAUAAAUUUCUGUUCCUUAUAAAUUACCCAGUCUGUGAUACUUUGUUAUAGUAGCACAAAUGGACUAAAACAAUGUCCUAAUGUCUGAAAAUAGUUGUUUCACAUAUUUGGUCCAAUUUUAUGGUUGCUCAU
rnacentral:lncRNA from 1 species